UGUCUUGUAAUUGGAAUGAUGGCGACCCAAACCCUCGCCAGAGUACCAAUUGGAGGGCAAGUCUGGUGCCAGCAGCCGCGGUAAUUCCAGCUCCAAUAGCGUAUAUUAAACUUGUUGCAGUUAAAAAGCUCGUAGUUGAACUUCGGCCUUGCGCGUCCUGCGGGUCUGCGCGCGGCCUUUGCGUUACUUUGAGAAAAUUAGAGUGUUUCAAGCAGGCUUUCGCCGUGAAUACUUGAGCAUGGAAUAACUGGGCAGGACCUUGGUUCUUCUUUGUUGGUUUUGUACCUGGGUAAUGGUUAAUAGGAACGGUUGGGGGCAUUCGUAUUUAACUGUCAGAGGUGAAAUUCUUAGAUUUGUUAAAGACGGACCACUGCGAAAGCAUUUGCCAAGGACGUUUCCAUUAAUCAAGAACGAAAGUUAGGGGAUCGAAGACGAUCAGAUACCGUCGUAGUCCUAAACCAUAAACUAA
rnacentral:rRNA from 1 species